CCAGCCCUAUUGCCGCCGCUUGCCUCCCCUUGGGUCGCAGCCGCAGCCGCUCGACCUCCCCUCGUCGGCGAUCAUUGGUGACGCUGCUUCCAGCCGCGCCACCAUUGUUGCCUCCUUCUUGACCGCCACACCACUAUUGCCAGCAUUUCCAGCGGCUCCGACUAUGGUGCGAUAGAAACAGAGCACCCUGUUUCCCAUCUCCAGCAUCGUAACUUCCCGACCAACG
rnacentral:lncRNA from 1 species